GGGCCGAUGGGACGGCUCGUACCUUCGUACUGCACCUCGGGGUGUGUCGUGCCCAGUGCUGCCAGCAGCGGCGCCACUCCAGCCGGCGGAGGCUCUUCCAGCAGGUCCUGGGGGACAAGGGCGGGUUGAGGAGGCAGGUGGUUCAGCCCUAGUAUUUCCAGGAGCAUCAAGACGCCUCCCAUCUCCAGAAAUUCAAUAAUGUAUCUGCGGCUGCACGGAUGGAGGGACAAAGCCAAAAACGUCACCUGCUUUGGAGCACAUCUUCCCGAGUGAGCACACCUGACUGUAGCAGCACGAUGGCACCUGGACACUGAACACGAGGCACCUGAGGCUCAGCUAGGACAGCUUUACUGCCACUAUGUCACCACCUACAGCUUUACCCCGUGCUCAUUUCAGAUGCUAAACCACAGGCACAGAAAAUCCCAUCUCUGCGCUCAGGCUUCCAGCAUGCUCUUUCCACACCGUGCCAAUGACCCAGUGGUUCUGGAGGAGGACAAGCUGUGGAUUUGGAUUCGAGAGCUUCUUAUUAUAGGAAGCCACAACCCCAUUGCCUGCACACACCUUCCCCACAGCAGCUCUCAGGCAGUGACAUUCUGUACUCACCCACUUGCAGCAGAUAAGAAGAUGCCGAUGGACUUGAGCAGCUUGUUGAUGCAUGUGCUGUACAUGUAGCUGUUUGAUAAGGCUAAGGAGAGAAUUACAGACUGUCUCAGUGUUCCCCGGGCAAGUCUGGCAACGUGGAGGUCUGAACCUGGUUACUUUCUUUGUUAGAGGGAGCACUGACCUUCCUCUCAAAGGCAUGCAGGGGUUCCUGGUUCUAGGUUCCUAAUCCUAGGUCCCUGAGAGACAGGCUGUGUGACUUUCCCUUCAGUUCUAUCUUGAGAUAGCUGUUGUUUUUUUUCCCCCCUCCGUGCAGCUGGAUCUUUAUACAAAAGCUUAUUCUUCAUACAGUAUUUUUUUUGGUAGAGAACUUUCCCUUCCUCUCCAUCCCACUACCAUGUGCCACCUUUGGCUUUCCAAGCAAACAGAUACGUCACCCUCAGCCAUGCUGCCAGGCGAGCCAGAAACAAGCUGGCUCCCUGGGAGAACUCCAGCUCCAGCUCUGGUUCUGUCUUGCCAAUAUUGCUUCUAAUGAAGUUGUCCAGGAUGUGGUUUCGAGCAACUCUGUGAGCACUGUCCCAUUCUUGCAGGAAAACCAUGAGCUUCUUGAUGGCCUCCUGCUCUUUGACAGAUGUCAUGAUCUCUUCUGCCUAGAGAAAAGUGAGACAAAUGUUUAAUAAAGGUCUUAAAGGUAGGGAAAAAAAUCUGUAUUAAGGAACUACCAUCAUAUUGAAGAUCUCUGGAAAAUAUUAGUAUUAAAACAUUUACUAGCCAUUAAUUAUAUCUCAUUUUCCUUUAUACUCAUACGUUAUCUUCUCUGCUGUGUUAGCACAGUCAUUUCGAUGUUACUCAUUCUCCCCUCUUUGGUUUCUUGCUAGACUCACAACAAGAACACUACCUCCCAUAUCUGACCUACCCAAGAGUAAGCAGGGUGACAUGAGGGCAUAGGUGUGGAUUUACAGGGAGCGACAGGGUCAAUGGUCAAUGCCUGGUAGUGCAGCAUGCUCUCCUGUGGGUGCACUGAGCUGUUUGAAAUCCACUCCAGCAGGACAUGCUUGGCCUUGGCAAAGGGAGAGUGCCUGGGGACCUUUGGCACGGAGGACUUUAGCUCUGUUUUGUUGUUGUCUAAUUUCUCUGGGCUUAUUCUGAGCUUUCAGUGGUGCAUCCUGAAAAAGCUACGGAUAUCUGAAAUAAUAAGAACUUCAUGGAAGGAGGCAGGAGAUCCAGAAACACCCCUUGUCCGCACCGCCUUCAAUCCCAUAAAGCAACCCGCACUUUACCAAAUCACUCUGCCACGCUUUUAUUUCAGUAUGAAAUCCCCCCAACCCACCCUGACAAACGUGAGAGUGCACUCAGCGGGGGGUGACGUCCCCAUGACACGCACCAAAACUAACCUCCUACUGCUGUUACCUGAAGCUGCCUGAAAACAGUAACCGGGAGCUGGAAAUGCAUCUUGGCGAUGGGAAACAAACCAACAAAGGCUUCAGAAAGUUGGCUAAGAGGACCGAGAACUGCGAUGAGAUGAAAUUUCAUGUGGGAAUUAACGGCCUGUGCUCUGCAAAGAGCCCGUGCCCUUGGCAGGGCGUUCUCAGGAUCUCCUUUGUGGGGAAGCAGGUUGCAAAUAAAUCCAUUCUCCCAAAAUA